GCACACACCUCUUAAAGACACCGGUAGUUCCGCUUCCGGCAGCACCAGAUAAGUCGCGAGAGGAAGCUUAAAUCCUGUCGUUUGCUUUUAGGACCACUUUCGGUUCAUGAUGGUCCGUAGUGGAAAAAAUGGUGACCUUCAUCUUAAGCAGAUUGCAUAUUAUAAACGAACUGGUGAAUAUCAUCCAACUACGCUACCAAGUGAGAGGAGUGGCAUAAGAAGAGCAGCAAAAAAAUUUAUCUUCAGAGAAAAAAAGCUGUUUUAUGUUGGAAAAGACAGAAAACAAAAUCGUUUGGUGAUUGUUUCAGAAGAAGAAAAAAAGAAAGUCCUAAGAGAAUGCCAUGAAAAUGACACUGGAGCUCAUCAUGGCAUAUCCAGGACCCUUACUCUAGUGGAAUCCAGUUAUUAUUGGACUUCUGUGACCAAUGAUGUCAAACAGUGGGUAUAUGCUUGUCAGCAUUGCCAAGUGGCAAAAAAUACAGUUAUUCUAGCUCCUAAACAGCACUUUCUCAAGGUGGAGAAUCCAUGGAGUAUAGUUACUGUUGAUCUGAUGGGCCCAUUUCAUACAAGCAUCAGAAGUCACGUGUAUGCUAUAAUCAUGACAGAUUUGUUCACAAAAUGGGUUGUGAUUUUGCCUCUCUGUGAUGUUUCACCAUCAGAAGUUUCUAAAGCUAUUAUCAAUAUAUUUUUCUUAUAUGGACCACCACAGAAAAUAAUAAUGGACCAAAGAGAGGAGUUCAUUCAUGAGAUCAAUGUUGAACUAUGUGGAUUGUUUGGCACAAAGCAAAUUGUAAUUUCUCACGCCUCCCAAGCUGUUUAUCGAACUGAAAGUACAUCUAGCACAAUCAAAGCAUUUCUUUGUAAACACUGUGCUGACCACCCAAACAACUGGGAUGAUCACCUAUCAGCCAUUUCAUUUGCCUUCAAUGUAACUCACUUGGAACCUACUAAAAAUACACCAUAUUUUCAAAUGUUUACUCGAAAUCCUUAUAUGCCUGAGACUUCAGAUAUUCUUCAUGAAGUGGAUGGUGAUGAUACAAGUAUGUUUGCCAAAAUUCUAGGUGCAGUUAAAGAAGCUGAUAAAUUAUCAAAAAUGGAGAAUAAGACAGCAUCAGGACGACAGGUGGAGAACAACAAUUUUGAGGAACUGAAUAAAAGCAAAGUCAUUGUUAAAAAGAAACCAAAGCAGUUAAAUCCAUUUCAUCUAAAAGUAGGUCAUGAAGUUUUACGACAAAGGAAGAAUUGGUGGAAGGAUGGUCGUUUCCAGUCUGAAUGGGUUGGUCCUUGUGUCAUAGACUAUAUUACCGAAAGUGGAUGUGCUGUUCUGAGAGACAACACUGGGACUAGACUUAAAAGACCUAUCAAAAUGUCCCACCUUAAGCCCUAUGUAAGAGAGUCCAGUGAACAAGACAGUCUUUAUCUCUUGCAAGGUUCGGUAGUGGCAGAUCAUGACUACAUCGGAUUGCCUGAAAUUCCAGUUGGAGCAUACCAAGCAAAUAUUCUGGUAGAAGAUGCAACUAUUGGCGUAGUCGAUAAUGAAUUACUGACAUCAAGCAAAGAUGGUGAACUAUUAGAAUAUAGAAGUGCCAAAAUCUCUCCAUUGCUGGAAGAUCAUAGUACUCUUGAAAAGCAGACUUUCAGUCUGUUGGACUCUUCAAACCAAGUCCUUGAGUACUUAAAGACAAGCUGGUGUAGCCUCACCUGUGGAAUACCGCCACCACGGCAAGGGGAGAACAUACCCAGCACCAUGAAGAGCCUUGCUGUCACGUCAUGCACAACCUUCCAUCUCCAAUUACGGUGGUCAAACCUAGUCAUACACUGCUAACAGGUUCCCAGAAUUCUCGGACUCCUCGAGCCCGGCACUGAUGAGCAGCAAAGCAGGGCGAGCUGGACUCAGCUCUCUUUGUCCCAACGCCGUCCUGUCCCAAGGACAACCCACCCCCAGCUCCUGCAGGUGUGCUGCUUCAGCGGUCCAGACAUUUGGAAUGUGCUUCCCAGCUUCAUCCACUGUCCUGGGAUGGACCAGGAAGGCCUUGGAAGAGGUUCUCCAGGUCCUUGUGAGGAGCACACAGAAGGAAUUCCUUAGUCUGCUGAGUAGCUGGAGGAGACCAGAAAGCCAAUGACAACUUCAUUCCUCUCCCCUACCUCGCAAUGAAACCUCUGUUAGUUCUGAAAGUUCUCAAGAAUUGAAGUGGAGAAUGGAGGAGAAACUAAAGGAAAGGUAUAUACCCAAAGUAUUUGAAAGCUGGGACUGGAAGAGAUACUUCUACACCAGUGUUUAUUGCAGUAUUAUUCACAAUAGCCAAAAGGCAGAAACAACCCAAGUGUCCAUCAACAGAUGAAUGGAUAAACAAAAUGUGAUAAUUACUCUGGAAGCUGGAUUAAGAAUGGACAGAGAAAGGGCAAUGGAAGACUGGUUAUGAGGCUGUUACAAUAAUUGAGGUGAGAGAUGAUGAUGGCACUGGUAGUAAUGGAGGUGGUGAGAAAUGGCUAAUAUCUGUUGUAUUUUGAAGGUAAACAGGAUUUGCUGACACUGGAGGUGGAUGUUUAGAAGAAGAGAGAAAUCUAUGAUGACUCUAAACUUUUUAGGCUUGCAUAACUGGAAAGAUGGAGUUGCCACUAAGAUGAGGAAGACUAGGAGGAAGAGACUUGGGAAAGAAAAGAGAAGUUCAGUUUCAACGUGUUGAGUUUGAGAUGCUUAUUAUACAUUGACGUAGAACUGUUGGGUAGAUAUUUGGGUAAGAGUCUGGAAUCCAGGGGAUAAAAAUUCAGCAUUCAUUUAUGCACAGUUCAGAACUCUCCAGAAUAAAACUUCAAUUAAUAUGUUUCCCUUUGGAGAGGCCAAGACAUUCUCUUUGCUGCACUUAUAGUUGACGUGCCACAUUUCUUGUUAAUCACUGCUGAGGCAGCGAUCCAAAGCAUCUGGUGACUGAUUGUACAUACUCUAUGGCAUUAUUUAUAUUACCUGGCAGAUCAAACAGAUGCUCAAGCAAGUUUUCUAGCUUUAUGAAUGAUGGCAGCAGAGCAUUUGGCCCCCUUCCUCCUUUUGAUGGAUACAGCUGAUGAUAACACCACAUUUAAGGGACUGCAAAUAAAGCUUGCAAGUUCUCAAAAAUCUCAUCCUCAUCUUUCAGUACAUACUGAAUGAGACAGAGCGUUGGUCUCAGCAAUAACAUAUUACUUUGCAAUCACAUAGUACUUUGUCUUUGCUGAGGAAUUUACAAUCCAGUGUAAUUUAUACAGAAUAUCACUUUUCCUAUUUUUACCUCAAUUUUCAGUUGGAAAACUGGAGAGAGAACUUUUUUUUUUCCAGAAAAAGAAUCAGAAAUUCUUAGGAAUAUCUCCUAUCCUACCUCACAAACUUGAGUUAUUAGCCUUUAAUUCUAAAUCUUCCUUUGAAUUCUUGUCAUAACCUAAAAGUCUUAGCAUAGUGUAUAAUUUUACUAAGAUACCUAGAUUGCCAAGGUCAUUGGGAUACAGGGCUUUACUGAAGCAAUAUGACAUUUCAGUUAACUUGGAGGAGAAAGCUGUGUUUGGCUCCAUUGGUAAAGAGUUUUAUUCCAACUGUGAUGAAGGACUGGUCAUAUGUGAGUAGGGAAGAUGGAAUGGGCAGUGAAGGUAGUGAAGGAGCAGAAAGCUGAAUGCUUUCUGUUCUCCUCCCACACAUACGCAGCUCUUUCCAUAGCUAGCUUCACAUCUCUCCCUACUGAAAGGCCCUCUGUCUUUUAGGUUUUGAAUCUCAUGGACAGAGGCUCCCUGAGUUGAGAAAUCUAAAGUAGGCAAUAGAUCUACCUGAUGGUGGGAUGGUGACAUACAGCAAGAGGACAACACCAGGCAGAGAAAUUCUGCUGUGGGACACAGACUUCCACAUGCAACAGAAACAUUCCGGUAUCUGUGGGUCUCUCCCUAAGCAAGGAAGGCCGUGUUGCAGGAAUGUCCUUGGAGAAGUGUAUAGCACUGGCCUAAGCAGGACAUCUAUAGGGUAUUUUCACAAGUGUAAAGCUAGGGAAUUACUUAGUGAGGCGCUUGGCAGGGGUAGGAAUGAUUCAGUAUUUGAAGGAGCUAUGACUCAAUUUUGGAAGACAUGGAGGCAUUUCUCCAUGGCCCACCUGUGAUCAGGAGUUUUCAGGCUUUGAGGAUGGAUGUGGUUUACUGGGUUUGAAUAUGAUUGCGUGUGUGUGUGUGUGUGUGUGUCUGUGUGUGUGUAAAAUUAACAUACCAUAAAAUUCACUCAUUUAAAGUGAAAAUUCAAUCGUUUUUAGUAUUCAUAGAGUUAUGAUUUUACUCAUUUAAUGCAGAAACUUUAAUUGUAAACAACUUGAAACCAGCCAUUCUGAGGGGUAGCAGGAGAAAGCCACCUGAGAGAAAUACCUGCCAGUUGCACUCUAGUAUCUUCCCCCUUUUUGGCCUGUUCCUCCACAGAAUCCAUGCCCACCUCUUCUUCAUCUUUCUCCAGAGCUGCCAGGUUCUUCAGGGCCUCAGAGAACUCCCCUUCAUAGAUGCCUUCUCCCAUAUUCACUUUGCUUACAUGAGAUCAUACUUUUGGUUCAGGGAGGCCCAGACCUCAGCCAUGGCAGUGGUGUUGCACAGUAUGCACAUAGUCUGCUGCACUUUGACCAGGUCUCCCCUGGGGAUGACAAUUGGGGGGCUGGCAGUUGACCCCACUUUAAAUCUAGUUGGGCAACAUCCAAGCUGGAUGGUGCACUUCAUCCUGAUGCUGGUAAUGGCUGUGUUGACAUCUUUGGGACCAUGUCCCAGUUACAUGCUACAGACGACGUAUUGCUUCAGCAAGGGUCAUACUUGGCAAUCUGAUUGGCUGGCUUGCAGGCAUUGGUGAUGUUGGCCACAAGCAGCUACUCAUCAUAGGCCUUCUUAGCUGAGAUGCCUGGGGAUUGGUAGCCAGUGGAAAGUGGAUAUGGGACCAGGUUGUUUGGGAAUUCUGUCAAAUUCACAUUCAGGGUAGUGUCAAGUUGCUGAGAGGUAGUGAUGGUGGACACAAUCUGCCCAAUCACAUGAAUGAGAUUGGUAUAUAUGGGCUGUUUAGUAUCUAGGUUGUGUCGACAUAUGUCAUAGAUGGCUUCCUCACUGACCGUGAAGGCACAGUGAGAAUGAUCCAGGGUCGGGUGGGUGAUCAGGAAGGAAUUGUGGUGCUCCACUGUGACUGUGGAAACCUGGGGGAUUGGCAACUUUGAGUUUGGACUUCCUGCCAUAGACUACCAAGAGCUGUUCCAUAAGCAGAGGCACAAACCUAGAGCUGGUGCUGCCCCUGAAGCUGUGGAAGAUAUGCAAGUCCCAUAGCCCUGUACACAGAUCCACCAAUUUUCAGAUCAAGUCUAGGUCAGUAAUCUCCUUGCCAAUGAUGUCAUGGCCUUUGGCAUAAUUACUGGCUGCAUCUUCUUUCCCAGGGAUCAAUAUUAAGCCCCCAACUUUUUUACUUUUAUGGACCAAAUUUUUAUUUUCUCUUAUUUCUUAAAAGUAAGAAAAUGAUUUUGAAAGACAUUAUAUAUGUUUAUUUUUGCCUCAAGUGCUCACAUUAAAAAAAAAAAAAAAUAGCCAAACAAUUUCAUGAUUUUCUGUUCUCUGGUGACUGCAUUGGCAAAGAGGACAUGGGUACUGUCAGUAUCUAUGUGACACCUGAUGUUCCAGAUCUUUUCGAAUACCUGGAUGUAUGGCAUGAUGUAAACAUAAAAACUGGAUGACUAGUACCAUUUUAAGUUGUUCUUGAAGACACAGGCAUCAUUCACUGAAUAGCCCCUUUUAUGAGUGCACAAAUCCAUGCAAAUUUUUUGUUUUACCACCAGAUGUCAGCCAUUCACUGCACUGGUAAUAACUAUCCUGAAGAACUCUUGAUGAGAAAUCUAUGUAUGUGGAUGUCACCUUCAUCUCUCCCUCUGUCCUUCUUUUCCUCCUUCCCGCUAUGACUGUCAGUCAAUAAUCAAUUGACUUAUUAUAUUUUAAUUAGAAUGCACAUUUCUCUUCUAAUCUAUCUAAAUAAUGAAAGGGAGGGGCGCCCGGGUGGCUCAGUCGGUUAAGCAUCCGACUUCGGCUCAGGUCAUGAUCUCACAGUCCUUGAGUUCGAGCCCUGCGUUGGGCUCUGUGCUGACAGCUCGGAGCCUGGAGCCCGCUUCGGAUUCUGUGUCUCCCUUUCUCUCUGCCCCUCCCCUGCUCAUGCUCUGUCUCUCUCUGUCUCAAAAAUAAAUAAAAACAUUAAAAAAAAUUUAAAAAACAAAAAAUAAUAAAAAUAAAUAAUGAAAGGGAUAUAUUAGAUAUUUUAAGAAAACUAACAUGAUUUAGAGUUUAAAUAUUAUCAUAAACAAAUGUGAAAAUGACACUAAAAUGUUUUUUAAACUUUGAUCUGGAAUUCAGGCUCUUUUCAGUCCAGGAACUUUGGGACCAAUGCAAUAUUUUGCAGCCUUUGUUUCAGAACAUACUUUCAACUGUCACCCAGAACUUUUGCUUUUUUGGAAUUUUUAUUAGAUACUUGUUGGUAUUCUGAAAUUAUAUUCUUAUUGGAAGAGUAUCAACUACAUAUCGAACAAACUAUGCAAUAUUUGAUUUUUAGAGAAGCCCUAAGGUGAUUAAAAAGCUAAUUAAUUAUUGAAGAACUAUGUAGAAUUUUUGCCCACCAACAACUUCCAUUUAAUUUUUUUUCUAUUAAAUGCCUUCUUGAGUAUUAACAUAUAACUUCUAUGAUCCCUGACUACAAACUUUGUCAGGUGUGUUGCUCUACUUCAAUCACUGAGUUUAAUCCAAUGAUUUUAUGCUUUUUGCCCUUCAACAUUGUGAGCUUUUUGAGGUUUGGGGAGUUUGGCAGGUAUCUAUUGAUAAAUGAAUUUUAUUCUCUAAACUUAGAGUACAGCUAGCCUGUAGUGGACUGUUGGUUGCCUCCUUAACAACCAUUUUCUUCUACCUCUCUUUCCUGUCUGAAUUUUGUUUCGGUGUCUAGCACUUCUCUUUUGGAGCCAUGAGACUUAGGGAAAUUUCAUCCCAUCAAGCUUCAUGCAUGGGCCUGAGUGGUAUAAAAAUGAUCCCAUUCCCUUUGCUAAGGAUUAGCUCAGAAAUGACCAUGGCCAUAGAAGGUCCAAGGAAAACUUUUCCUCACUUUCCUCACUCCUAAAAGAGUGAACUAUAAGGGCUGAUGGAUAUAUCUUUGUGAAUCUAUUGUCAUUCCUGAAGAAGAAAAUACUAGUGUUACUGUGUUUCUGAAUCCUUUUGGCGGAGUGAUAUAGAUAUGGGGAAUGUAGGGGAGGCUCUCUCAAAUUUUCAGACAUCUACCAGAGAUAUCUUUCAUAUCACAUAGAAAGAAAAUUCUAGAGUAUGAAACCAACACAGAGGAAAACAGCUGCAGGGGAGAGAGAGUGUGUUAAGAGAGAGAGAAUGAGAGAAUGAGGGAGAGACAGAGAGAGACAGAUCUGAUGAUAGUUUUUGUGUCCCUAGAUCCUCUGUUAUGAAAUAAUGAGCCAAAAAAUUUUGUUCUUAUUUAAUUAUAACCCAGUGAGGUAAGAGUUUGAUAGGGGAAGUCUAUUUAGGCAUCUGGAAAAAUGUCUAGAAGCUGGAAGGACAGUAAGGGCAUGACCAUUUGAGAGAGAAGUCAAAUGUGGCUUCUCCUUGGAGUGAGGAUGAUAAGGAGAGUUGGCUUCUGGGCCUUUUGCUCUAUAGAGACCACAUAUUUGAGCAAACGGCUUUGUGUGCCUAAUAAUUUGUUUUAAGUCUUAGCUAAUCCUUGUAGGACCGUAUUUCCUAUAGAUGGUCCAUGAAACACCUGGAUCCAAAUCACCAGGGGUACUUCUUAAAGAUGCAUAGAUCUGGGGCUCCUGGGUGGCUCAGUUAAGCUUUGAUUUUGGCUCAGAUCAUGAUCUCAUGGUUCAUGAGAUCAAGCCCCGCUUCCUGGUCCGUGCUAAUAGAGUGUACCCUGCUUGGGAUUCUCUUUCUCCUCUCUCUCUUUCUGCCUCUCCCCCACUCACAUGCACUUUCUCUCUCAAAAUAAAUAAACUUUUUUUAAAAAUGCAGAGAUCUAGGCCCCGCUCAAUGUAGUGAAUCAGAAACUCUGGGAAUGGGACCAAGAGUUAGUCCUUAUAAGUAGCCCCAGUUGAUACUUAAAGUUGCUGAAGUCUGAGAAGUAUUGCUAUAGGCUACGUUAACUUUGACAUCGACUUUGGGCUACUAAGUAGGUGACAGUCUGGGGAAUAAGCCCUAAAACCAAGUCUGUGGCUUCCCUUAUCAUUCAGCUACUUAAAUACUCAAUUUAUAUAACAUUUGAAUGAGAGUUUAAAGAUAUAUGGGAAUUUUGAAAAAUAAUAUGCUGAUUUAAUAAACUAAGAAGAUGGGGUACCUUUGUGACUCGGUUAAGCGUCCAGCUCUUGGUUUCAGUCCAGGUCAUGAUCUCACGGUUCAUAAGUUUGAGCCCCUUGUAGGAUUCCAUGCUGACAGUGCAGAGCCUGCUUGGGAUUCUCUCUCCUACUCUGUGCUUCUCCCUUGCUCGUACAUGCUCUCUCAAAAUAAAUAAAACUUAAAAAAAUUAAUGUAUUAAAAAUUAUAAUAAACUAAGAAGAAAGCUUAGAACAAAAGAUUUUAUGCAUAUGAUAAUUCAGAGCCAAAUCAGUGAAUGAGUGUUCUUUUACGUCCCCCAAACAAUAGUAUCUGGAUAAUUUAAUGUAAAAAAAAAAAUCAAAGCCCAGCUGUUUCUCUUCGCCUUUUUAAGAAGUCAAUUAUACCUAUUUUAAUUAUCUAAUUUAAAACAAUGAACAAUUGAGGUAUUCCGAUCAUGGUACUAAUGGUUAAAACAAAAUACCUCAGACCCUGUCUCCUCUGUCCAAACAUCUGUAAAUUAUAAUUUAUGUGCAAAUAUAGCUAUCUACUUGUAGUAACUGGCAAAGUUGAAUAGCCAAUUCUCAAAAACAAUGGUUUUCAACUCUAGAUGCACAUUAGAAUUACCUAGAGAAAUUAAAAAACGUGACUUAUACCAAUGUCCUACUGUAAGUCAACUAAAUCAGGCUCUCUGGAAGGAGUGUUUUGUUUGUUUGUUUGUUUGUUUUUUUUUUUUUUUUUUUUUUUUUCCUUAAAUUCCCCAGGGGAUUCUACUGUGAAGCCAGGGAUGGGAUCCACUUCUUGAGACGCUUCCCAGGCAGUGCAUUCUCUGAGUGGCUCAGUGAAUGAAAUUCAGCUAAGAACAAUAAUCAAUGGAGAGAUUGCUUGAAGGCAAUGCAGUUCAUUCAUUUCUAGUCUACCAUCUUUAAGCCAGGUUAGUAGAAUAAGGGUAGUGUACUAGGACAGGUUUAUAAUGCCCCAGAUUUUCUUUUUCUGUAUCUUCUUUUUUAUAAUGCCAUUUGCUUAUAUGAGAUAUAAGAUGUCACAUGCUAUAUUGAGGGAUAUAUGUAAGAACAGACUUGCAAAAUGUAUUUGUCUACUCUGGAUAUUGUUGAAGACUUGACUCACACAUCUUGCUGCUGUCUUUCAGAAGAUAUUUGGGAACAAGUUUUUCUGUCCUUAUAAUUAGGAAUUCUAAAUGUUUAAUGGAUUUAUGAAUUAUAUAACUAAUCAAGUUUUAUUUAAUGAGCUGCUAGAAAUCUUAGAGCCAACGUCUUGGCCUGAGCAGGUGUAAUAGGAACUACUCUCGUAUUAAUUUUUCUUUUUAUCUUUGUUCUCCAUUUAUCUUUUUCACCUCCUUAUCAUUUAUCAUUUUUAUUUAUUUUUUGCAUCCAUUGAGUCAUUGUAAACUGUUUAGGAAUAAGAUUUGAUGUAGGUAACAUUUAAAAAAGCAGCUAAUAGAGCUGAUGAUCAAAUAUUGCACCACAAAAUAUGACCUUAGUGCAAGUCAACUAAUUUCCUCAAUGUAAGCAAACUUGAACAGCAUCAAAGUCAACCUAUAAAACAUGUGUCUUGGUGGGGGCGGGGGGGGGCGUACUGGACUAAUUCUGAUGUUGAAAUAAAAAUAUCUUACAUACUGUGAACAGGCACAUAUACCUCAGAAUAGUGUUAUCAUUCUACAUUUACAUGUUUACCAGUAUGCACUGAAAGGGGCAUAAAGGAGUGGGCAAAGGGAGGUAAAUAUAUCCUUAUUUGAGAAGGAAGAUAAGAAUAAAAAAAAAAAGGUGAAGCUUCUAUUUGGGUAGGAUGCCCAAAUUAAGCUAUACCAGGAAGGUGAAUAUAUGGGAAGUAAUAAAUCUUUCAAUCAGAUCUUCUUUGGUGUGUGAGAAGAAAAAAAUCUAGGUUAUGUUAGAUUUUUAAAAACAACAUAGCUGGAAGACAUUCUAAUUAAUAUACUUUUUUUGCAAAGCACUCUAUUGUUUUCACGAUGAGUCAAUUAAAUCUCUAAUGUGCCACUAGUAAGAUGCCUGGAUUGCAAAUACAGGCAUUUUGAAGAAAGGGUUCUAGAGUCUGAUUAUUACACAAAGAAAAGUGAUCAUGUUCUUACUAAACUGCAUUGAUGAAUUAUGAAAAAGAUGUUAUAAAAGUAAUUCAUAGUUCCUGUAAGAGAUGAAUAUUCCCAUGAAUACAUGGAAUUGGAGUGAAAUUAUUCUUUAAAAAGAAAACUAGUAGUAACCUAUAUUGAUGGGUCUAUUUGCAUAUGUAACUUGAGACACAGGUUUCCUCUUAGCUAGAUCACCUUUUAUUAAAUUAUUUACCUCCUGAUUGAUACACAGGCAAAACCCCUCUUUAAAUUUAAAAGAGAGCCUGGAUUUACACAUGUAUGUAAACUCUGAUGCUGGUUUUUAAUUUAUAUCAGCUACAUAACAAAAUAUCAUCUUCAUUUUAAUACAAUACAACACAUUUCUUUCUGCUGAAGACAUUGGGUAGUUUUCACUAUAUCCGUGGUUUGUGUAAUUAUUACAAAAGUUGUAUACAAAACCCUGCAAGUAUGCAAAAAUUGCAAAAUACACUCUGACAGCUAAUGCUCUGAAAACACUUUAUUACACAAAUUACAUUCAGAUUCUGAAAAUAGUGUUCUAACAGUGUAACCAUCUAAAAAUAAGACAUCCCAAAAACACACCAACUGAAGAAAAUUAAAAAACGAAUUUAAAUAGAGACUUUUUUUUCUUUCCCUCAUUGCAAUAUAAUGUUAGUGAUUUUAAAAAAAUAGGAGAUUUAGCAGCUUUGUCCUCAUGUAGCACAAAGUUUCUCUUUACUGCCACAGGCUGAGAAUGCUGAACAGGAAAGGCACCAAAGACAGACAUAGGCAAUGGAAGUGCUAUUGGGAAAAUACUGUGUUCAAGCAGAGAAUGGGG